UUUUGGCAGCACUGAAAGUUCAUGAGCUCUCUCAGAAAGCAAAGGAGUUUCGGAUCAUUUUAUCUAUGCUGCAUGUAUGAGCACUGUCACAGAACCUGCCUAAUAGGUUUUGCAUGUAUUUGAUUACGCCGCAUCUCUGCUUUCUAUGCACUGUGUGAACAAACAUUGUCAUGCAACUAGCAGAAGAGAGCAUAAGCAACGGAGAAUACUCAUAUCAGCUGUUUCUAUAUCGAAAGAGAAGGACGACUGAUGACGCCAUUCAACGGAGCACACCUUAACCAUACUAGAUAAAAACUAAAACUAUGCAUCAUUUAUGAUAUCUGUAGCGCCUGCGAUGAACAAUGUCUUUUUAAAAUAAAGAAAUUACUUAUUAAAAAUGGACUCGA